AGAGCAGAGAGAGUGUUUAGAGAGCUGCUAGAGGUAUAAUCUGUUUUAGGUAGAAGGAGGAAAAAGAAAAAACAAAGCACAAAAACCUUGGGUUUAUAUUUUGUUAUUGUUAGAGUUAACAAUAAAAGUCAAAGCUUAGGGAGUGAGUAAGUUUUGACUCUAUAGAGCAUCUGUUGACUAAUCAAAGAAAAAAUGUGAAAAUGCAAUUAGUAAUAACAGAAGUUCAUGCUUUAAAGUGAGCGCUCCUUUAUGGGAAGAGAUGGCAGUGGAGCUAGUAUUCCACCUGAAUUGUACAAGCAUGGAAGAGCUUUUCAUUCUUGAAGUGCCAAGAAACUUGUGGAGCCCUUGUCUCAGCUAGAGGAAGGCUAAGCACUGAAGAUGAGGAUGUGUUUCUGCAGCUAAUUGCCCAUGUGAUACCAAGGUCCUGCUCUGCUGUGGGCUGCAAGGCACUGCAGGCUCUGGAGACUCCAAACCUUAGGCUUUCAUCCACCAAUCAGUGCAAAGAGCAAGCUGGCCUUGUUAAGGUGCCUUUGCUUUGAUACCAUAAACAGCAGAGACUCAGGGGCUACUGGCCACCAAGGCAGGCACUGAUUAUUUAGUUCUGGUUUGUGUUUUCUGUACAGUGCUCUCUGUAUGUGAAGCAGUAUAAUUGAAACCAUUCUUUUUGUUAGUCUGACUGCUGUGACAUCUGUGGAUAUAAAGGCAUUUUUUUAAUCUCUCGAGUAAAAUAUUGUUAAUUGCUGGCUCAGACAGAUUAAGUGAGUAGAAAGGAUAACGUGCAGAGAACUAUACUCAGAAAUAACAGAUAAGACCCUGAUUGAUAUACAAAUGUAUAGUAAACUUAAUUGUAUGGGGUAUUGUGUCUAGCAUAAUUUUCUCAUCCUAAUAGGGAAUGAAACCGCAUUUCUUUAGAAAUCAGAUAAAGAAAAAUUUAACAGGUCAUUUUAGAAACUUCUGCAUAAUACUCUCAAACCCCCUAAUUGUUCUCAUAAAUGCAGAGUUAUAUUUGGACUACCUAGCCCAGAUAAAAUAAGACCUCACACAACCCUCUUAUGUGCCAAAAGUGGCACUCAGACAUCACAGUCUGUGAUCUGUGAAGACGUUCUUGGAUCUGUGAAACUUCUGGUGUCUAAUUUUGGUCAGUAAAUUUCCCUUAGUGUUUACAGUUCGUCAACUGUGUUAACCCACAAGGGCUGCCUCCAUGGGAGUUAGCUUAUUGCCAAAAUGUUUGGUGAGUAGUAUUACAUUCAGUGUUAAAUAAGUUCUUCAAGAAGUAAAGACCGGAUCCUGGGACCUGUGAUGCACAAGCCCUGCAUGAAAGAAUGUCGCAGUGAAGAGUAAUAGUGCAAAAUGUGGCUGCAGGGCAGCUAGCAUUUCCAAAGGGGAAAUUAAAAAGGAAAAAAAAAAAAAAAAAAAAGUAGGGAAGUGGAUGGGGGAGGAAAGCAACUAGAGAUGAUAACAUUGUCCUUCUCUCCACAUAUGUUUUAAAAGAGAAGCAUAAUCCAAUCUUAUGUACAGAGGUAGCUGUGGACAAUUCAGUGCUGUCUUGGUUCUAACCUGGAUAUGAUUUGGACACGUCUUGAAUCAUGGAAUCAUUUGAGUUGGAAGGACCCUUGAAGGUCACCUAGUCCAACUCCCCUGCAAUCAACAGCAGCACCUACAGCUAGCUCAGGUUGCUUAGAGCCUGAUCCAACCUGAACUUGAAUGCCUGCAUCCACCACAUCUCUGGGCAGCCUGUUCUAGUGCUUCACUGCUGUUAUUGUU